rnacentral:rRNA from 1 species
UACGUAGGGUGCAAGCGUUGUCCGGAAUUAUUGGGCGUAAAGGGCGUGCAGGCGGUUUGUUAAGUCUAGGGUGAAAGCUCCCGGCUCAACUGGGAGAGGUCCUUGGAUACUGGCAGACUUGAGGAGGGUAGAGGAGAGUGGAAUUCCCGGUGUAGUGGUGAUAUGCGUAGAUAUCGGGAGGAACACCAGUGGCGAAGGCGGCUCUCUGGGCCCUACCUGACGCUGAGACGCGAAAGCGUGGGGAGCGAACCGG